UAGGGUGCAAGCGUUGUCCGGAAUUAUUGGGCGUAAAGAGCUCGUAGGCGGUUUGUUGCGUCGGCUGUGAAAUCCCGAGGCUCAACCUCGGGUCUGCAGUCGAUACGAGCAAACUAGAGUGUUGCAGGGGAGACUGGAAUUCCUGGUGUAGCGGUGAAAUGCGCAGAUAUCAGGAGGAACACCGGUGGCGAAGGCGGGUCUCUGGGCAACAACUGACGCUGAGGAGCGAAAGCGUGGGGAGCGAACAGG
rnacentral:rRNA from 1 species